UACGGGGGGAGCAAGCGUUGUUCGGAUUUACUGGGCGUAAAGGGCGCGUAGGCGGUCAGCACAAGUCAGUUGUGAAAUCUCCGGGCUUAACUCGGAAAGGUCAACUGAUACUGUGCGACUAGAGUGCAGAAGGGGCAACUGGAAUUCUCGGUGUAGCGGUGAAAUGCGUAGAUAUCGAGAGGAACACCGGUGGCGAAAGCGCUCUGCUGGACCUUAACUGACACUGAGGGACGAAAGCUAGGGGAGCGAAUGGG
rnacentral:rRNA from 1 species